rnacentral:rRNA from 1 species
CGUUUAUCCNAACAACCGAAAAAACCUUCCCCCUUAGAGUUUCGACAUGGCUCAGAUUGAACGCUGGCGGCAGGCCUAACACAUGCAAGUCGAGCGGAUGACGGGAGCUUGCUCCUUGAUUCAGCGGCGGACGGGUGAGUAAUGCCUAGGAAUCUGCCUGGUAGUGGGGGACAACGUUUCGAAAGGAACGCUAAUACCGCAUACGUCCUACGGGAGAAAGCAGGGGACCUUCGGGCCUUGCGCUAUCAGAUGAGCCUAGGUCGGAUUAGCUUGUUGGUGAGGUAAUGGCUCACCAAGGCGACGAUCCGUAACUGGUCUGAGAGGAUGAUCAGUCACACUGGAACUGAGACACGGUCCAGACUCCUACGGGAGGCAGCAGUGGGGAAUAUUGGACAAUGGGCGAAAGCCUGAUCCAGCCAUGCCGCGUGUGUGAAGAAGGUCUUCGGAUUGUAAAGCACUUUAAGUUGGGAGGAAGGGCAGUAAGGUUAAUACCCUUGCUGUUUGACGUACCCCCGAAAGCCC